rnacentral:lncRNA from 1 species
GGGAAAUUCCAAUUUCUUAGGGCACAUUGCUUUAAUAGUCUGAUAGGUAGUGUCUGGAUAUAUUCAUUUCUUCCAGACUGGUUAAAUUUUUCAGCUCUUAUUUUAACACCUCUGUUUUGAAGUAGAAUAUGUCUAUUCCUCAAACAAACAUAAUAAUCUGAAUGCAAGUAGGAACUAAAGCUAGGGCACACAUAAUUAAUACAAGGUAGCUGUGUAAAAGAUCAUGGAUUUCUGAGUUUGAGGCCAGCGUGGUCUACAGAGUGAGUUCCAGGACAGCCAGGGCUACACAGAGAAACCCUGUUUUCAAAAACCAAACCAAAACAAAACAAAACAAAACAAAAAGAUCAGCUCCCCCUGCCCCCUAACCUCUUAGCUUUUAGUUUCUUUUUGAAGAAUCAAUUUCAUCUUGUGGGGUUGAGACAGAGUCUUGCCCUGAGACCUAGGCUGGUCUGAAACUUAGGAUCCUCCUGCUUCAGCUUCCCAAGUGUUAGUGUUAUAGACAAGAGCUGCCAGGCACAGCAUGGCUUCAUUUAAACUCAGCAACUCCCCCUCUCCUCUGUUGAACAGUAUUCUCUAAAGACAUUGCUGAUUAACCAUCUGGCUGUUUGUAUUCCAUUUUCCCGUGGUACCAGGAUAAGAUCUGUCCCAGUGGGUCUCAGUUUCAUUCUGUCUUUCCUGUGGGCAGUGUCCUAGCAUCUCAAAAACAAAACAAAACUUGUUCAAGCUCCCUUUUCAGAAGCUGUACUGGUAAUAAAUUUUAGAAGCCUUAUAUAGCACAAGAGGCGUGUCUGACUUCCUCUGCGAGCUCACUGUUGAUUACGUAGUUAAUGGACGAGGAGAAAGAACAACCAAAUUUUAUAUGUAUUUUGGGAAUCGGUUUCUAAUUUUAACUUGGGAAUAUUUUUUAUUUUAUUGUUAAACAAAGGUCAAGUACUUAAAAAAUUGGCCAGCCAUAGUAGCACAUGGGGGGUGGGGGUGGGGCAGAAGCAUGCAGAUCUCUGGGUUCCAGGACACCCUGUCUCGAAAAAGCCUCCAAAAAGUUAAAAAAAAAAUUUAAAAUCCUAUUUUUAUAACAGUAACAAAUGAAGUUCUUUUUGUUCAUGAAAAUAUCUUUUAUUCGGUAACAAUUUUUACAUGUGAACAACGUAUUUUAACCAUGUCCACCCCAGAUAUCCCCCAACAGGUCCCCCUUCUCACUUCAUGUUUUUUUCUUCUUUAAAGGCCCCUGAGUCUAGUCAGUGCUGCCUGUUGGGAUGCUUUCUGGUCUUGUUGGCUUGAUCGUGGGCAGGUCAGCAGCGACCUGCAGUGAGUUCAUGAGUACAGGGAACAUGGCGUGUAUUCACACCAACACCUCCCACCCCUGCCUCUCACAUCUAUAUUACACCCUCUUCUGUGAUGAUCCUUAAGCCUUGGGGGCGUGGGGGUGGGGUGGCAGGCUUGAUACAGAUGUGCUGUUUGGGCCUGAGACCCAAUACACACUUAUUCUAAGCAUUUUGACUCUUUAUGAGUUCCUCCUUACCUGCUGCCCACUGCAAAGGAUCCUUUCCUGACUGAGGUUGGAGGCAUAUGUAUGUAAACAUGAGGAAUUUAGAAGGCAGUUUGACAUGUCUGUUUAGCAAGACGUUAUUAGUGGGUUACAACUUCCCCAGGCAUGAGCUUGGGAACAGGGUUGCAAAUGUCUUUCUCCUUCCUGUGGGGCAAGCCCCAGAUCCGGUCUGAGAGCAUUGGCUCCAUAACCUUCAUGUACAGUGUGCAGAUCUUGCUUGACUGGUUGGUGCUGUAGAAGAUAUGGUCACCAUCGAUCCCUUGGGGUCAUAUCAUGCAAAGCACCUACCUGUGCUGUGGAAACCGUAGCCAGCAAGGAGGAAGUUUCCAAGUCAGUUGCAGCUUGUUUUUCCUGUGUUGUAACCAAAAUGUGUUGUGGCAGCACCACAGUCUUGCUACCUAGUGCUGAUGCACUAAAGAGCAACAGUAGCCUGGGUCUCAGGCCUCCUUGCACAGUAACUCAUGGGAGGUAUUUGACACUUAGCACUAAGAUUUUUCAUUAUUAUUUUUUGACUUUAAAAUGCCUUUUAAAAUUAGAUUUACUUAUUCCCUUUAUAGCCCAAAAUCAGCCCUUCCUCUCUUCCUAGGACCCCCUCAUUCUCUUUUGAGAAGGUGAGACCCCCUCUGGGUAUCAGUCCCCCCCAACCCCCAUUUAUAUUCUUUUCUUUUCUUUUCUUUCUUUUUUUUAAAGAUUUAUUUAUUAUAUGGAAGUACACUGUAGCUGUCUUCAGACACUCCAGAAGAGGGCAUCAGAUCUCAUUACGGAUGGUUGUGAGCCACCAUGUGGUUGCUGAAAUUUGAACUCAGGACCUUCGGAAGAGCAGUCAGUGCUCUUACCCACUGAGCCGUCUCUCCAGCCCCCUAUUUUCUUUUCUUAUGACAGGGUUUCUCUGUGUAGCCCUGGUUGUCCUGGCAUUUUCUCUGUAGACCAGGGUGGCCUCAAAUGCAGAGUUUACCAAGGGAAAAAGUAAUGCUGAGCACGUUGGAACAAGUCUGUAAUCCCACUACUCAAAAGAUAAACCUAGCAGGUUGCCUUGACUUUGAGGCCAGCCUAGACCUCGAAACAAGAUCCAUUCUCAGUGAACAGCAAUAAAACACGGCCAGGUGGAGGAUGUGCAGGGAGGGAGGGCUCAGUGAGUAAAGGGCACUGCGGCCAAGUCUGAUGAUUUUGGUUCUGUGCUGGGGCCCACAUGGUGGGAAGGAAAAACUAUUUCCUGAGUUAUUUUCUGGCUCUGGUGUGCAUGUGUAUAUACACACACAUUUUUCUCUUUGUAACCAAAAUGUGUUUUGUCAGCAAUAUAUGAAAAGUUAGG